rnacentral:rRNA from 1 species
UACGUAGGUGGCGAGCGUUGUCCGGAUUUACUGGGCGUAAAGAGCGCGCAGGCGGUCGAUCAAGUCGGAUGUGAAAGCCCCCGGCUCAACUGGGGAGGGUCAUUCGAUACUGAUCGACUCGAAGGCAGGAGAGGGAAGCGGAAUUCCCGGUGUAGUGGUGAGAUGCGUAGAUAUCGGGAGGAACACCAGUGGCGAAGGCGGCUUCCUGGCCUGUUCUUGACGCUGAGGCGCGAAAGCUAGGGGAGCAAACGGG